UAUAUAGUUUUUAUGAAGUCUGAUUUAUAAAUAUUUGUACAUAUAAGUAACCUGUUAUUUCGGUAAAUAACUUUAGAUCAUGAACAACAUCUCAGAGUCGAGGUACUUGUAAAAGAAAAAACCAAGGCACAAUGAAUAUAUUUGGUUCAACUAUGAUAUACUGACUACACUGAAGGAACGCAUUGUAUAUUACAUGAAGGAAUCUUAGCGCUCACAGACAGAUUAUUACACCGGUUCUUGUAUAAAAUUGAUUUACAAUAUUCAAACCAAUCGAGUUGAAAUAAACUCAUAAAGGACUGAUACAAGAAUAUGUAGCUUAAUUUGUUAUCACAAUAUUUCAAAUCAAAUGACAUACACUAUUUCAGAAAACAUGUUAUAUUAAAGUUUUACAAUUGUU